rnacentral:rRNA from 1 species
UACGAAGGGUGCGAGCGUUAUUCGGAAUCACUGGGCGUAAAGGGUGCGUAGGUGGUCGGGUAAGUCUGAUGUGAAAUCUCCGAGCUCAACUCGGAAAUGGCAUUGGAUACUAUUCGGCUGGAGGGUUGGAGGGGGGACUGGAAUACUUGGUGUAGCAGUGAAAUGCGUAGAUAUCAAGUGGAACACCAGUGGCGAAGGCGAGUCCCUGGACAACUCCUGACACUGAGGCACGAAAGCUAGGGGAGCAAACAGG